GGAGCCGUAGCCAAGUGGUAAGGCGUGGGUCUGCAACACCCUGAUUCGUCGGUUCAAAUCCGACCGGCUCCUCCA
rnacentral:tRNA from 1 species